GAUGAACGCUAGCGGCAGGCCUAAUACAUGCCAGCCGAACGGCAAGUUUGAUAGCAAUAUUGGACCUAGAGUGGCGCAAGGGUGCGUAACACGUAUGCAACCUGCCCGCGACAGGAGGAUAGCUCCCCGAAAGGGGAAUUAACCCUCCAUAACACCAUGAGAAGGCAUCUGAUUAUGGUUAAACCGCAAGGGGUCGCGGAUGGGCAUGCGGUUGAUUAGCUAGUUGGCGGGGUAAAGGCCCACCAAGGCGGUGAUCAAUAGGGGUUCUGAGAGGAAGGUCCCCCACACUGGCACUGGGAUACGGGCCAGACUCCUACGGGAGGCAGCAGUAGGGAAUAUUGGACAAUGGUUGCAAGACUGAUCCAGCCAUGCCGCGUGCAGGAAGAAGGCCUUCUGGGUCGUAAACUGCUUUUACCUGUGGAUAAAAUACCCGUGCGCGGGGAAUUGAAGGUAACAGGGGAAUAAGCCACGGCUAACUACGUG
rnacentral:rRNA from 1 species